GGUUGGAUUUGGUGGAGUUUGUUGAAAUCGCGAAGAUACUAAAGGCUGAUCCGCGUGAGGCCAUCAGGCUCAUAUCCUGAAGGUCGUUGGUUCAAAUCCAACUCCAGCCACCA
rnacentral:tRNA from 1 species